rnacentral:rRNA from 1 species
AGAGUUUGAUCAUGGCUCAGGAUGAACGCUAGCGACAGGCCUAACACAUGCAAGUCGAGGGGCAGCGGGGUGCUUGCACCGCCGGCGACCGGCGCACGGGUGAGUAACGCGUAUGCGACCUGCCCGCCACCGCGGGAUAGCCUCCCGAAAGGGAGAUUAACACCGCAUGGUCCGGACCGUAUAAUGGUGGUCCGGCAAACGCGAGGGUGGCGGAUGGGCAUGCGUCCCAUUAGGCAGCAGGCGGGGUAACGGCCCACCUGGCCGACGAUGGGUAGGGGUCCUGAGAGGGAGGUCCCCCACACUGGUACUGAGACACGGACCAGACUCCUACGGGAGGCAGCAGUGAGGAAUAUUGGUCAAUGGGCGGAAGCCUGAACCAGCCAUGUCGCGUGCAGGACUACGGCCCUACGGGUCUUAAACUGCUUUUGAUUGGGGAUAAAGUGGGGGACGCGUCCCCUAUUGCAGGUACCAAUCGAAUAAGGAUCGGCUAACUCCGUGCCAGCAGCCGCGGUAAUACGGAGGAUCCGAGCGUUAUCCGGAUUUAUUGGGUUUAAAGGGUGCGUAGGCGGGCUGUUAAGUCAGCGGUGAAACCCCCGGGCUCAACCCGGGGACUGCCAUUGAAACUGGCGGCCUAGAGUACGUUGGGAGUGCGCGGAAUGUGUGGUGUAGCGGUGAAAUGCAUAGAUAUCACACAGAACACCGAUCGCGAAGGCAGCGCACUACGCCGCAACUGACGCUGAGGCACGAAGGCGCGGGGAUCGAACAGGAUUAGAUACCCUGGUAGUCCGCGCAGUAAACGAUGGAUGCUCGCCGUCCGCGAUACAAUGCGGGUGGCCAAGCGAAAGCGAUAAGCAUCCCACCUGGGGAGUACGCCGGCUACGGUGAAA